UUUUUAAAUUUUCACAGUAGCAGCAAUCGAUUCUCCUCCUCUUCAAAUUAAUGAAGUGCUACAAAAACUUGUUCCUUCUUUAAAUUUCAACGUAGUGCGGUAGUAACCUAAUAAAGGUUCCUUUUAUGAAAUUUCCUCAAAUUCUCUCAAAUCCAUUCAAGAUCAAGUAUAGCUUUAUUCCUUCGUCGAUUUCAUGAUUAUAAUUUCGGUCCCCUCCGAAUCUUAGCAAUUUCGGGAUUACUUUGUGUUGAAGUUGAAGCUUUCUUCUAGGUGAAGUAUCCUAAGAUUAAGGAUUUUCUUGUGUGAUUGAGGCUAAAGGAGCGACGAGGCGAAAGGGAUUCACGAAUAAGCGCUAAAGGUACAGACGCACAGUUCGGUGAUCCCCCAGUUUAGGAUAUCCCCUUAAGCUGUUUGGAGUGCUCUUCUCAUUUCAGAGCAUACAUUUUUGGUAUAUACUUUUGUUCGUUAUGUAUGUAUAUAUAUUUGUUCCGGGUACGGCGGGGCCCUGUUCCGCCAUAUGAUUCGUUUGGUCUGUUUAGAGGUCUGUAGACUUAUUUGUGGGUGUGUGUGCCUACUACUGUACAGUUGUGUCCAUAUGAUCUCUUUCGUUAUGGCAGCCUUGUCGGCUCGCACAUGUAUAUGUUGUUCUGUUGGCCCUGUGUGGCCUUUGUUGGUAUUUGCUGUGUACAGGGUUAUUUUGGAUAGUCCGAAAAACAAAGGAAACUCUGCCGAAAUUUUCUUUGAAAAUCUUAUAAAUUUGAAACACCGCCU